rnacentral:rRNA from 1 species
AACGAACGCUGGCGGCAUGCCUAACACAUGCAAGUCGAACGAGACCUUCGGGUCUAGUGGCGCACGGGUGCGUAACGCGUGGGAACCUGCCCUUAGGUUCGGAAUAACUCCCCGAAAGGGGUGCUAAUACCGGAUCAUGUCUUCGGACCAAAGAUUUAUCGCCUUUGGAUGGGCCCGCGUUGGAUUAGCUAGUUGGUAGGGUAAAAGCCUACCAAGGCGACGAUCCAUAGCUGGUCUGAGAGGAUGAUCAGCCACACUGGGACUGAGACACGGCCCAGACUCCUACGGGAGGCAGCAGUGGGGAAUAUUGGAAAAUGGGCGAAAGCCUGAUGCAGCAAUGCCGCGUGAGUGAUGAAGGCCUUAGGGUUGUAAAGCUCUUUUACCCGGGAUGAUAAUGACAGUACCGGGAGAAUAAGCUCCGGCUAACUCCGUG